rnacentral:rRNA from 1 species
UGCGGUGGUGCUUGCAUCACCAAUUACCGAUCAAACCGAGUGGCGGACGGGUGAGUAACACGUGGGUAACCUGCCCUUCAGCAGGGGAUAACAUUUGGAAACAGAUGCUAAUACCGUAUAACCACGGAGACCGCAUGGUCUCCGGGUAAAAGAUGGCGCAAGCUAUCACUGAAGGAUGGACCCGCGGCGUAUUAGCCAGUUGGUGGGGUAACGGCCUACCAAAGCGAUGAUACGUAGCCGACCUGAGAGGGUAAUCGGCCACAUUGGGACUGAGACACGGCCCAAACUCCUACGGGAGGCAGCAGUAGGGAAUCUUCCACAAUGGACGCAAGUCUGAUGGAGCAACGCCGCGUGAGUGAAGAAGGCUUUCGGGUCGUAAAACUCUGUUAUUGAAGAAGAACGUGUGUGACAGUAACUGGUCAUGCAGUGACGGUAUUCAAUCAGAAAGUCACGGCUAACUACGUGCCAGCAGCCGCGGUAAUACGUAGGUGGCAAGCGUU